UACGUAGGGUGCGAGCGUUAAUCGGAAUUACUGGGCGUAAAGCGUGCGUAGGCGGUUUGCCGUGUCCUGUGUGAAAGCCCCGGGCUCAACCUGGGAAUUGCAUGGGAAACUGGCAGGCUUGAGUGUGGCAGGGGAGGGUGGAAUUCCGCGUGUAGCAGUGAAAUGCGUAGAGAUGCGGAGGAACCCCGAUGGCGAAGGCAGCCCUCUGGGCCAACACGGACGCUCAGGCCCGAAGCGUGGGGAGCGAACAGG
rnacentral:rRNA from 1 species